GACGAACGCUGGCGGCGUGCUUAACACAUGCCAGUCGAACGGUGAAGCGCCUUCCUUUUUGGUGGGUGUGGAUGAGUGGCGAACGGGUGAGUAACACGUGAGUAACCUGCCCCCUUCUUCUGGAUAACCGCAUGAAAGUGUGGCUAAUACGGGAUAUUCUGGGUCUGUCGCAUGAUGGGUCUGGGAAAGAUAUUGUUUCGGUGGGGGAUGGGCUCGCGGCCUAUCUGCUUGUUGGUGGGGUGAUGGCCUACCAAGGCGGUGACGGGUAGCCGGCCUGAGAGGGUGGACGGACACACUGGGACUGAGACACGGCCCAGACUCCUACGGGAGGCAGCAGUGGGGAAUAGUGCACAAUGGGCGCAAGGCUGAUGCAGCGACGCCGCGUGAGGGAUGGAGGCCUUCGGGUUGUGAACCUCUUUCGCCAGUGAAGCAUGCCUGCCUCGUUUGUGGGUGGGUUGACGGUAGCUGGAUAAGAAGCGCCGGCUAACUACGUG
rnacentral:rRNA from 1 species